CAAACUUAAAUAAUAUCCAGUAGCGAUGAGCAAAGCAAGACCAAGGCCAAGACUCGACCAGUCUUGGUCAUGGUCUUGGUCUUGCUCAAUCUUGGUCUUGGUCUUGC